rnacentral:rRNA from 1 species
CCAAUAGCGUAUAUUAAAGUUGUUGCAGUUAAAAAGCUCGUAGUUGAAUUUCGGGGUCGGUAGGUUGGUCAUGCCAUCGGUAUGCACUGGUCUCACCGAUUCCUCCCUCUUGUAGAAGCGUAAUGCCAUUAAUUUGGUGUUGCGGGGAAACAGGACUGUUACUUUGAAAAAAUUAGAGUGUUUAAAGCAGGCUAACGCCUGAAUACAUUAGCAUGGAAUAAUGAAAUAGGACGUCGAUCCUAUUUUGUUGGUUUCUAGGGUUGACGUAAUGAUUAAUAGGGAUAGUUGGGGGCAUUAGUAUUCAAUUGUCAGAGGUGAAAUUCUUGGAUUUAUUGAAGACUAACUACUGCGAAAGCAUUUGCCAAGGAUGUUUUCAUUAAUCAAGAACGAAAGUUAGGGGAUCGAAGACGAUCAGAUACCGUCGUAGUCUUAACCAUAAACUAUGCCGACUAGGGAUCGGAUGAUGUUAAUUUUUUAAUGACUCAUUCGGCGCCUUACG